UCUUCAAGACCCUUUGGUGGCCUCAGAAGUUCAUUCGGCCUACUGGGCAAGGCGACAUUUCCAGCUUCUUGUUAGGUGCCUGGAAGCAGUGGAAGCUGGGAUAGGGUGAUGGGGACAACUAUUUAACCUCCGAGUGGCAAAUGCAGAAAGACCACACAACCAAAGCAGAGGCAAAAGCCGAUGACAGAAAA